UCGAACGGUAGAGUAGCAAUACUUGAGAGUGGCGAGCGGGUGAGUAAUAUAUCGGAACGUGCCCAGUCGUGGGGGAUAACGUAGCGAAAGCUACGCUAAUACCGCAUACGAUCUAUGGAUGAAAGCGGGGGACUCGCAAGGGCCUCGCGCGACUGGAGCGGCCGAUAUCAGAUUAGCUAGUUGGUGGGGUAAAAGCUCACCAAGGCGACGAUCUGUAGCUGGUCUGAGAGGACGACCAGCCACACUGGGACUGAGACACGGCCCAGACUCCUACGGGAGGCAGCAGUGGGGAAUUUUGGACAAUGGGCGAAAGCCUGAUCCAGCAAUGCCGCGUGCAGGAUGAAGGCCUUCGGGUUGUAAACUGCUUUUGUACGGAGCGAAACGGUCUUCUUUAAUACAGAGGGCUAAUGACGGUACCGUAAGAAUAAGCACCGGCUAACUACGUGCCAGCAGCCGCGGUAAUACGUAGGGUGCAAGCGUUAAUCGGAAUUACUGGGCGUAAAGCGUGCGCAGGCGGUUAUAUAAGACAGAUGUGAAAUCCCUGGGCUCAACCUAGGAACUGCAUCUGUGACUGUAUAGCUAGAGUACGGUAGAGGGGGAUGGAAUUCCGCGUGUAGCAGUGAAAUGCGCAGAUAUGCGGAGGAACACCGAUGGCGAAGGCAAUCCCCUGGACCUGUACUGACGCUCAUGCACGAAAGCG
rnacentral:rRNA from 1 species